rnacentral:rRNA from 1 species
CCUGUUUAUCAAAAACAUCGCCUUUAGCCCCCCAAGUAUUAAAGGUCCCGCCUGCCCAGUGAACAAUUUUUCAACGGCCGCGGUAUCCUAACCGUGCAAAGGUAGCGUAAUCACUUGCCCCUUAAAUAGGGGCCUGUAUGAACGGCUAACUGAGGGCACACCUGUCUCCUGAUGCCAACUAAUGAAACUGAUNUUNUGGUACAAAAGCCAGGAUACACCCACAAGACGAGAAGACCCUGUGGAGCUUACAACCUAAUCACUACUAAUCACCACUUAAUCCUAGUGAGCGGUUUAAGUUGGGGCGACUACGGAGCAUAACAAACCCUCCAAGAAACCAGGCUAACCCCCCCCCUACAAGGCACACGCGCCAACAAGACACCCUAUUUUAUGACCCAGUCCCACUGACCAACGAACCAAGUUACCCCAGGGAUAACAGCGCCAUCCCCCUCCAGAGUCCAUAUCACCAGGGGGGUUUACGACCUCGAUGUUGGAUCAGGACACCCCGGCGGUGCAGCCGCUGCCAAAGGCCCGU